rnacentral:lncRNA from 1 species
AAAAUACAUUUCCUGUGUUGACUUCAAAAACUUUAGAAUACUGUCUGCCUUUUCAUUGGUAAUUGUAUCAUCUUCCUCGCUGGCGUCUGCACCGUCCUCCUCCCCGGAGUCUGCACCCUCUUCCUCCGUAGCCCGUGUCAGGUCUUCCUCGCUGGCGUCCGCACCGUCCUCCUCCCUGGCGUCUUUAACGUCUUCCUCCCCGGCCGGUGUCGGAUCUUCCUCACUGGCGUCCGCACCCUCUUCCUCCGUAGCCCGUGUCAGGUCUUCCUCAUUGGUGUCCACACCGUCCUCCUCCCUGGCGUCUUUAACGUCUUCCUCCCCGGCCGGUGUCGGAUCUUCCUCACUGGCGUCCGCACCCUCUUCCUCCGUAGCCCGUGUCAGGUCUUCCUCGCUGGCGUCCGCACCGUCCUCCUCCCUGGCGUCUUUAACGUCUUCCUCCCCGGCCGGUGUCGGAUCUUCCUCACUGGCGUCCGCACCCUCUUCCUCCGUAGCCCGUGUCAGGUCUUCCUCGCUGGCCUCCGCACCGUCCUCCUCCCUGGUGUCUUUAACGUCUUCCUCCCCGGCCGGUGUCGGAUCUUCCUCGCUGGCGUCCACACCAUCCUCCUCACCAGCCUCUCCCACGCCUUCCCCUUCAUUGCUGCUGUCCUCGGGCUGGUACAUGAAACUGACACCAGCAGCCUUUGCUGCCAAGCCGGCUGCUUUCUUCCUUUUAAUUUGCUGUUUCUUUUUCAGUUUCCUUUUUUUAUUUUUGCUUAUUGUGGUGCCAUCUGUGUGCUGUUGCUGAGAUUUCUCCUGUAACAGACUCUGCUGUUUCUCUAAUUCUGCUUGUUCUAUAAGAACACUAUUGGGAUUUUUAAAUUUUUUCUUUGAUUUAUGCUUCCUAAUUCUUCUUC